AUUCCAUUAUCAUAUAUUUUUAAAAGAACAAAAUUGGUGCCCCGUGACUCGAGAGAUUCACCCGCCAAAGGCCAGAGUUCCACGGGACUCUGACCGCCAACUUCCGGGAUUGAAUCGGACCGAGGACUUCUCAACCCCGCCAACUGCCUGGACCACAUUUCUACAAACAACACCGGCUUCUAAUUACUACAAAAUCAUAAACUGAGACAGGUUGGCUCCUAGCAAACACUCUGUUUCCUCCAAGAAGACAAGACAAACGGUCACAUCACUGACCACCGUCCAUCUGCAGUUUGCUUCGACUGCCAAGCACU